CCUAUGUUCUAUUUUUAGCCAUGGCAGCCAUCUUGGAUGGUUGGCCGGGUCACCGGACACAUUUUUUAAACUAGAUACCCCAAUGAUAAUUAUGACCAAGUUUGGUUAAAUUUGGCCCAGUAGUUUCAGAGGAGAAGAUUUUUCUAAAAGAUUACUAAGAUUUACAAAAAAUGGUUAAAAAUUGACUAUAAAGGGCAAUAACUCCUAAAGUGGUCAACUGACCAUUUUGGUCAUGUUGACUUAUUUGUAGAUCUUACUUUGCUGAACAUUAUUGCUGUAUACAGUUUAUCUCUAUCUAUAAUAAUAUUCAAGAUAAUAACCAAAAACAGCAAAAUUUCCUUAAAAUUACCAUUUCAGGGGCAGCAACCCAAC
rnacentral:lncRNA from 1 species